AAUUUGACUCAUUUUCAAUUUUGACUCACAUAAUAUUCCAGAGUACAACUAAAGUACUCCACAAGACCACAACAUUACCUUUAACACCAAAAACAGGCAAAAAAAAUAAAAAAGGUGAUACUACAUAUCUUAACACACAAAAAAAAAAAAAAAAAAAUUCAAAGGUAAGUCCAGGGGUGAAGAACCUUUGAAAACAUCACCCCUCUCCAAAGUCCAAACUCCCACCUCUUGAAACUCCCACAGUUUCCAAAUUGAUCAAGUUGUGUUGUGUUAUCAGUGUAUGUUAAAAUUUGUCAGUAUACCCCACUUCAUUAGGAAGUUCACUGCAUCCAACCCCAACAUUUCUCUCUCUUUUCCCUACUUUACCAAGUUAACCCAACCAAACACAUCCUUAUAAAACCUUCUACUUUCCAUUCUUUCCUUUUUCCCUUGUUCUUUCUUCUUCCUUUUUUCUAUAAUUAAAAAUUCCCACUUUUUUAUAAAUUUCAAAGCUUUAAUAUUUACCCAUAUUUCCUCUUCUGGGUUUGAUUUAUUUUUAAGUUUUUCUUUGGAUUUAAUUGGUUUUUCAGUCUCUAAUUCUAUGCAAUAUUAAAUAAUUAAAAAAAGCAUCUUGCAGAAGGUGAGAAGAGGAGGUGAAAGAAUUGAGAUGCAAAAUUUCUCACAUUUUGAGAAAUUAUCAUUCUUUGAUUGCUUUCUAUCUCAGGAAAUCUUGUUCCAACAAUAUCACAGAGUUGGAUUGCAUCAUCAAACUUGGAGUUCUUGUCCAUACAUUGAUAUUACUCAAAUUGAAGAGAUUAAAUCAGCCCACAUUUAGUAUGAAGUUUUGAUCAAAAUCUGGUUUACAUUUUUGGUAGUGAUAUUUUUCUGGGUGUUUUUGGCAUCAGAAUUUGAUUUCACAAGCUCAAACCCAAAAAUAAAGUUCCUGGAAUAGUAAUUUGACAAUUUGGUGAUCUGAAGGAUUUGUGAUUUUCAGUUGUGAUUACUUUGAGAUUGUUUAUUAGAUGAUUGGUGAAUUCCCUGAAACACAUUGGAAAUUGCCAAACAGUUUGUUUACAUUGCGAAAUCAUUGCUCGAAAACCGGAGACAUGGAGCCUAGAGUGAGGAAAAAU